rnacentral:rRNA from 1 species
CCUACGGGAUGCAGCAGUGAGGAAUAUUGGUCAAUGGGCGCUAGCCUGAACCAGCCAAGUAGCGUGAAGGAUGACUGCCCUAUGGGUUGUAAACUUCUUUUAUAUGGGAAUAAAGUGCAUUAUGUAUACUGCUUUGCAUGUACCUUAUGAAUAAGGAUCGGCUAACUCCGUGCCAGCAGCCGCGGUAAUACGGAGGAUCCGGGCGUUAUCCGGAUUUAUUGGGUUUAAAGGGAGCGUAGGCGGGUUGUUAAGUCAGUUGUGAAAGUUUGCGGCUCAACCGUAAAAUUGCAGUUGAUACUGGCAGCCUUGAGUACAGUAGAGGUAGGCGGAAUUCGUGGUGUAGCGGUGAAAUGCUUAGAUAUCACGAAGAACUCCGAUUGCGAAGGCAGCCUGCUGGACUGUAACUGACGCUGAUGCUCGAAAGUGUGGGUAUCAAACAGGAUUAGAUACCCUUGUAGUC